rnacentral:rRNA from 1 species
UGAGGAAUAUUGGACAAUGGAGGCAACUCUGAUCCAGCCAUGCCGCGUGCAGGAUGACUGCCCUAUGGGUUGUAAACUGCUUUUAUACAGGAAGAAACCUUCUCUCGUGAGAGGAGCUGACGGUACUGUAAGAAUAAGGAUCGGCUAACUCCGUGCCAGCAGCCGCGGUAAUACGGAGGAUCCAAGCGUUAUCCGGAAUCAUUGGGUUUAAAGGGUCCGCAGGCGGGCUAUUAAGUCAGAGGUGAAAGUUUGCCGCUCAACGGUAAAAUUGCCUUUGAUACUGAUAGUCUUGAAUUAUUGUGAAGUGGUUAGAAUAUGUAGUGUAGCGGUGAAAUGCAUAGAUAUUACAUAGAAUACCGAUUGCGAAGGCAGAUCACUAACAAUAUAUUGACGCUGAGGGACGAAAGCGUGGGUAGCGAACGGGAUUAGAUACCCGUGUAGUCC